rnacentral:rRNA from 1 species
UACGUAGGGGGCAAGCGUUGUCCGGAAUCAUUGGGCGUAAAGAGCGUGUAGGCGGCCCGGUAAGUCCGCUGUGAAAGUCGGGGGCUCAACCCUCGAAUGCCGGUGGAUACUGUCGGGCUAGAGUGCGGGAGAGGCGAGUGGAAUUCCUGGUGUAGCGGUGAAAUGCGCAGAUAUCGGGAAGAACACCGAUUGCGAAGGCAGCUCGCUGGAACGUAACUGACGCUGAGACGCGAAAGCGUGGGGAGCAAACAGG